ACGGUCACAUUCUUUCUUAAUUAUGGUAUCCGGCACGCACAAAGUUAUAAAAAUGGGAAAUAUGGAAAAAGUUAACACCACGUUUCUGAAAAAAUCAUUAAAAUAUGCAUAUUGCUAUGGUGAUCAUUGCCACAUCAUAUAAAGGUGGAAAUAUGAAGAAAACGUUGGAUUUUCGUUGAAUCAAAAUUAUCACCGAACACGUGGUGCGCCCGUGUGCACAUGAAGAAACGUUGGAUGGCUGCUAAACAUUUCUUGAGACUAUAUUGUGGAUAAACAUAUCCAAAGAUGAUGGCAGCAGCAGAUCACUUUCGUACGCUCGUAAAAUAGCGAAGAGCGGCGUGCCAACCCCUUGAGGUCUAAAGCUGUGGUCAGGCAAGAAAUAAUAUCUAUUGUGCACCGGCAAGGGCACUGAAAUAUAUGGAUCUAGGACUCGAGAGCCUUUGUGUGACCGCUGUCCAUGUGUUGCGACCAGGAUGAAAUCAUUAUUCUGCUGGCAAUCUGACGCCACCCUUUUAUAGAUGGUAGAAUACAAAAGUAAAAUCAAGUUUUUAUUUA